rnacentral:rRNA from 1 species
UACGGGGGGAGCAAGCGUUGUCCGGAUUUACUGGGCGUAAAGCGCGCGCAGGCGGACUGUCAGUCUGGGGUGAAAUCUCACGGCUCAACCGUGAGUGGUCCCUGGAUACUGCCAGCCUUGAGGUGUCUAGAGGAGAGCGGAAUUCCCGGUGUAGUGGUGGAAUGCGUAGAUAUCGGGAAGAACACCAGUGGCGAAAGCGGCUCUCUGGGGACCACCUGAGCGCUGAGGCGCGAAAGACGUGGGGAGCGAACCGG